UCGAGGAUCUUCGUCAAUGGGCGCAAGCCUGAACGAGCGACGCCGCGUGCGCGAUGAAGGCCUUCGGGUUGUAAAGCGCGAAAGUGGAGAGAAAGGGAAACUUGAUCAAUCCACAGUAAGGACGGGCUAAGUUCGUGCCAGCAGCCGCGGUAAGACGAACUGUCCUAACGUUGUUCGGAAUCACUGGGCUUAAAGGGCGCGUAGGCGGUCCGACAAGUCAGGGGUGAAAUCCUGCAGCUUAACUGUAGAAGUGCCUCUGAUACUGUCGGUCUUGAGGGAAAUAGGGGUGUGCGGAACUUCCAGUGGAGCGGUGAAAUGCGUUGAUAUUGGAAGGAACGCCGGAGGCGAAAGCGGCGCACUGGAUUUCUUCUGACGCUGAGGCGCGAAAGCCAGGGGAGCAAACGG
rnacentral:rRNA from 1 species